AAUCCCGCAAAAUAAGCAUCGGCAGAAAAUGUAAACAGAGAUAGAGACAAAGAUCGAGAUCAUGAAUGAGGCGAUAAAACACCACGACCGAUAAUUAAAUGGCCUUGUUUAUUCUUUUUUUAAUUUAGUUCUUUUU
rnacentral:ribozyme from 1 species